CAGCAUUCACUGCAUAUGGAAGUUCUCCAGCCGGGGGAUCGAAUCCAAGCCACAGCUGUGACUUGCAACACAGCUGUGGCAAUCCCAGAGGAUCCUUAACCUGCCGCACCAUGGCAGGAACUCCACAACAUGCUGCUUUUAAUUAAGGCAACACAACGGACAAGAUGAGGAAGAAGAAAGACACUGAGAGCUUGUUUGGGUGAAGCCCACUGGAGGUGGGGUGGGAAGGACAGCAGGUGUUAACUAGCUUACCUUUGCUCCCAAGAGUAAUCGGGGAGCUUACUGAUCUUUGGGGAAAAUGUCCUUGGGGAAAAUAUUUGCUUACAGAGCAGCUGAGCACAACCUACAAUAAAGCAGUAAACUAUGUCUAGAUCAGACAUACUGAUGCCACUUUUUCUUUGGGGCUAGAGAGAGCACAGAAAUAUUUCCUUCCCAAGGCAAAACUGAGAAGAAAAAAAAAAUUAUUUCCUUCCACCCACAGUAAAUAUUUGAGGAAGUUUAGGAGCAAAUUGAUUUUCAAAACAAACAGAAACAAAACAGGCUUUCUCUGCACUAUUCUGGGUCCCCAGAGGUAUAUUAAACAGGUUGGUGGAUACCACCUCAGAAAUUUAAAGAAUAAAUUUUUUGGUUUCAUUGUCUUCUCCCUCUUCCAAAAUUGGAAUUGAGUUCAGGGAACCCUGUAGGCAGAACAACCAAAUUUAGAGACACUCUUGCCCAAGGACAAACAUAUUCCCGCCUCACAGAAAACUUCCCAGCAAUCUGAACUCUCUGGUGAAGCCGCAGAGAUGGCCACGGGCAACCUGGCCCGAAGCCGGUAAUCUUUGCUAGGCCAAGACAAAGUGAGUUUUUAUUAGCCACUUCAGUCCUAUGGAAGAUCACCCAAACUACGAUUUUUACAAUUAGCUUACAGCAAGUCAAUGUUUCAGCCGCAGCACAGUCCUACUGGAGAAAAGAAUGAAAUUCUUUCCUAAUUCAGAAAUAGUCAUAAAAACUACUCUCAAUGUGAUCCUUAAUACAAAAUGGACAGUUACCAAUAUAAUCAAGGGCAGGUACGUGGACAUAAAGGACGUCCUUUGGAAAAAUAUUGGAACAUAAAACCUUCUAUGAGUCAUAGAUAAAAUUUACAAGCAAGGUAACUCUGGGGAGAAUACACACUGGAUGUGAAUCAACCUAGAAGCAUUGAUUGUCGAAAUAACUACCUUGUUGACUCUCAUUUAAUCUGUGGUAUUAGUAUUUUCAACCCCCAAGAGCCAUUUUUUUUUUUUAGGAUUGCAAGUAAGCAAAUUGAAUGCUAAGAAAAACAGUUUAUGGGUUAUAUCCAUACACACGUUGAGGCCUGAAAACAGUGUCCUUUUCAGAUAUUAAAGAACAAAAGACUAAAAUUUUAUAAAACAUGUUGAUAUAUUUAGAGCACAUAGACUACUGCUGAUCUUCAUCUAAUGCUGGCCAGACCACUGAACUGAAUAGCUGUUACCAUAUUGAGUCCCUUGUAACUAUCAAAAUGAGUUUUUCAUACCCCAGUUAUAUAUCACUUAUUAAUUAUAAUGAAAUGAAUUUAAUUAGCACAAUAAAACAAUGACAGAAAAAUAGAGAUAGGUGAAUACCCUUGUGCCUUAAGAACCCUAUUAAGAAAAUUAAUAUUAAUAAUAUGUCACGACUGUUGAGUUUUUAUAUCCACAGAGUGUGCUAAGUUUGUUAUGUGAUUUAUCCUACUUAUACUCAAACACACCCUUGAGAGAAGUGUAUUAUUAUCCCUGUUUUACCAGAUAUGGACAAAAUGCUUAAAGAGUUUAAGCAAUUCAUCUGGGUUCUCAAAGCUGGGGAGCUAUAGAACUGGGCCUCUACCACUGUAUAAAAGGACACAACUGAUCACAGAAGAUCACCCUCAAAUCUUCAGAUUUAAUCUAUCCAACCUGCAGAAAGUGAGGCAUUUUCCUCCCCUUUGGAAUUUUUUAUGACCCCGGAAAUAUUUUAACUUAAAAAAAUUGAAAUGGAUAUCUUCAUUCCUAAUUUUAAUUGCUGAAAUAUUACUUAAUAUCUCUUCCUGUUGCUUUGCAAUCCCCACAAAGCUCCAGGUCUUCUCCUCUUAACUGUUCUUCUCAAAAUCCUUCCCAACCUCUCUUCUCCACCCUCACCAUUAUUUAAUACCAAAGGAUCUUGCUUUUACCCUCACAGUACACUUCCUGCCUACCCAAUCUCAUUCCUGCCCAUGACUUCAAAAUACUGUCUCUAUGCCAUUAAAUUCAAAGGGUGGAAUUAGUCCUAAAUGGAAAACCAUUCAGAAAAUAUGGGAAUCCAGUGUUUAGGUACUCAUUAAGCUUCAGUUAAUCAAAAUUAUAACUGUAGAGUUUUAAGAUCUAUGUAAUAAAAUAAAAAUUAACAUUUCCCAGAUAAAAGUUGGUCCCAUAUAAUCCUUUAAGAAACAUGAAGAAUUUUGUUUUAUUUACUUUGCUUUCUUUACUCCUGUUAUUUCUACCAUCUAUAUUCACUUCAUUAUUAAAACAUCAAUACAUAUAUACAUGAAAGUAUUCUAGAUAUUUAUGAUCAUAAUCUCAUGACUUGGAAGACACCAUAUUUACAUUUAAUGAAACACGUUUAUGGAGGUAGAAGGUAGAUGGGCCCCUAAGCUGAGAACAGCUGGGACUUGUUAGGCUGAGUAAAUUGGGCCUUGCUUCUCUUUGACAACCCAAGGAGAAACUUAAUGGCAGGAGCUGAGCCCUGCUGGAGCAAAAAGGUAAGAUGACUGCAGCAAUCACUCUUAAGGUCAAGGAAACCUCCCCAACUACACAUGCACAAAAAACAAGACUCCUAGGGGUCAAAAAGGAAGGGAAUGCCAGGCCCUAAGUUGGCUAACGUUCCUGUAAGCCCUUGCUCUAGAAUCCAUCUUGGCCAAAAGAUGUGCAUACAUAUCAAGGAGGGCCCUGGGUCCUAUCAGGUGAAAGAAAUAGAAACAAGAUAACUUUCCAAAGGAGAACAAAGACUUGGAAGAAUUGUCCUAUAUAAAUGGUUUAAAUCACUUCUCUGCAAUGUUCCUCACUCAGGAGGAUGUCCACACCCACACUCCUUUUUUUGGGUGUGUAUUACUGCCUUGCUUCUAUCUUAAAUAAACUACUCUUUGUGCUUUCUCACAUGUUUGAUGAUGGUAUAUUGUGUUGAUGGUGUAUUGAGAGCAAAGUGAAACCAAUAUCCAAUCUAACAUAUGAUCAAAAUUUUCUGAGUCAACAUCAGACACAUACCAUCUGUUUGAAAUAAGUAGGGAGGGGCAAAAGGGUGCAAAGAAAUGAGAUCUAAUGUCAACAUCAGAAUCAGCUGGGGCCUUAGCCCCUAUACCAAAUCCUUUACUGCAGCAUUGAAAGCAGACAGUUACAUGGAUAGUCCUUGCCACAAGAGCCAUGGUCUUCAAACUUACGUACCUUUUUAAAAUGAUUUUAUAAAGCUAUGUACCCUCACAGAGUUUGAGACUGACAUUUUGUUUUUUCAUGGCAAGUUAAAUAGCAAGGUAUAUCAGCCAUGGCACAUUAAAAAUGUUAAUGUUUUGUAAUAAAAUUUAUAUAAUUCUUUCAAUAAAUCCAGAGUAAUCUAAACACGAGAGAGAACUACAUGAACAGAUCUUAUUUAUAGCUGGAAAUUUUACUUCAUUCCUAUUUUUUUUGAACUUAUAUAUCUAUCCCCACUGAAGUUUAUCUCAGGUAAUAAGUUCUAUGCUUGCAAGUCCUUUUAUUGAUCAUAUCUCUACAAUAAAAAUAUGUAAAAUUUACUUUAAAAAAAUUCCUCAUGACCAUAUGACUAAGUGUAAAAAAAUUUUCUUCUGGAUUGAGUUAUAAUUAAAAUGAUUUGAAGAGCAUAAUUAUCAAAACAAACAUAUCUGAAAUUGUAAUAAAUAAUUAUUAAACAAAGAUCACAAUUACUGGAAAUGACUCUCCUAAUGAGAUGGUUUGGUCUUUUUCCAUUUAUUUCAUUUACUCCACGGGUGACUAUUAUUUACUGUUAAAAGAAGAUAGAGCCUGGCAUCAAUUUUUUUUUUCCAGUUUGUUUUGUCUUUAUGACUAUAACUGUGAAGAUUCUUUGUUCAUAUAAACAAACAGAUGGAAACGGAAGAGACUCUUUCCAUUAUAGCAAUGUCACUCAAAUCCUUGAACUCCUUCUCAGUUAUAUGCCAAAAGUCAGUGAUCUUUCAUCAACAAUUAUUUUAAUCGUAUAUUGUCUGACAACUCAAUUAGGCCCUCUGCUUCUGCAACUUCCCUUAAAGGAGAGAACUGUAAACCCACCUGACUUGCAAAUAGAUUUGUUACCCAGUUGUCAGAGCCAUUCCAUCUGUCAAUACUUUAACCAAAUUGUAUCUUUCACUUUUUUUUUUUUUGGUGGGGGUGGAGGAUAUACUCAAAGUUCUGAGUCUAUAUACCAGUGGACAAUCCUCUUAUAACUCCCCCAUAUGCAUGCUCCAGUCUAAAUCCACCACACAAAAACAUGAUAGCAACUUACAUCACAUUUAGGUAUGUUCAGUUCUCCUAAAAGUAUGCUGUUCAAACUAGAGCACACAGUAGAUCUGAACCAAAUGACUUAAAGAUCUCUGAAAGAUCUUUUUAUCAUCAGCAAAUAAAUGCACACACAAUGAUUCAAAUAUUUAUCACAAUUAAUUCAGUUUUAAGACAAGCUAAGCAGAAAUCUUCCAGAGAAUGCCAGAAUUUGUUUUCAUACUCCU
rnacentral:lncRNA from 1 species